AGAGGAGAAGUGGAAUGAUAACCUAACUUUCUAUCUCAUGACGAGGCCUGCAAGUGAACUACAAAAUCUUUUAUCCUAAAUAUUCUAGCACUAUAGCAAUUAGCAAAAACUACCAACAUAUUAAGUAAGGAGGGCACAAACUUAUAUGGAAUACAUCUCAUGAUACCACCAAAUGGCCAAUUGAAGAAAAGCAAACAUUGUGAAUCAUAAUAGAUGUCAUACAAGAUG
rnacentral:misc_RNA from 1 species